rnacentral:rRNA from 1 species
AUUGAACGCUGGCGGCAGGCUUAACACAUGCAAGUCGAGCGGGGUGAUGGUGCUUGCACUAUCACUUAGCGGCGGACGGGUGAGUAAUGCUUAGGAAUCUGCCUAUUAGUGGGGGACAACAUCUCGAAAGGGAUGCUAAUACCGCAUACGUCCUACGGGAGAAAGCAGGGGAUCACUUGUGACCUUGCGCUAAUAGAUGAGCCUAAGUCGGAUUAGCUAGUUGGUGGGGUAAAGGCCUACCAAGGCGACGAUCUGUAGCGGGUCUGAGAGGAUGGUCCGCCACACUGGGACUGGAACACGGCCCAGGCUCCUACGGGAGGCAGCAGUGGGGAAUAUCGGACAAUGGGGGGAACCCUGAUCCAGCCAUGCCGCGUGUGUGAAGAAGGCCUUAUGGUUGUAAAGCACUUUAAGCGAGGAGGAGGCUCUUUUGGUUAAUACCCAAGAUGAGUGGACGUUACUCGCAGAACAAGCACCGGCUAACUCUGUGCCAGCAGCCGCCGUAA